CUCUAUCCCCAAUAAA
rnacentral:tRNA from 1 species